CAGCAGUGAUUUCUCUUGUGCUUGUUUGGCAGAAUAUAAAAUAAAGAGAAGGUUGGUAUGGCCUCUGCAUAAGGAUGACCCACAAAUUUUUAAAUGUUCCAUAUUUUCUU